rnacentral:rRNA from 1 species
AUUGAACGCUGGCGGCAGGCUUAACACAUGCAAGUCGGGCGGGGUGAUGGUGCUUGCACUAUCACUUAGCGGCGGACGGGUGAGUAAUGCUUAGGAAUCUGCCUAUUAGUGGGGGACAACAUCUCGAAAGGGAUGCUAAUACCGCAUACGUCCUACGGGAGAAAGCAGGGGAUCACUUGUGACCUUGCGCUAAUAGAUGAGCCUAAGUCGGAUUAGCUAGUUGGUGGGGUAAAGGCCUACCAAGGCGACGAUCUGUAGCGGGUCUGAGAGGAUGAUCCGCCACACUGGGACUGAGACACGGCCCAGACUCCUACGGGAGGCAGCAGUGGGGAAUAUUGGACAAUGGGGGGAACCCUGAUCCAGCCAUGCCGCGUGUGUGAAGAAGGCCUUAUGGUUGUAAAGCACUUUAAGCGAGGAGGAGGCUCUUUUGGUUAAUACCCAAGAUGAGUGGGCGCUACUCGCAGAAUAAGCACCGGCUAACUCUGUGCCAGCCGCCGCGGUAA